CCUACGGGAGGCAGCAGUGGGGAAUAUUGCACAAUGGGGGAAACCCUGAUGCAGCGACGCCGCGUGAGUGAUGAAGUAUUUAGGUAUGUAAAGCUCUAUUAGCAGAGAAGAAAAUGACGGUAUCUGACUAAGAAGCACCGGCUAACUACGUGCCAGCAGCCGCGGUAAUACGUAGGGGGCAAGCGUUACUCGGAUUUACUGGGCGUAAAGGGGGCGUAGACGGGAGAAUAAGUCUGGAGUGAAAUGCCGGGGCUUAACCCCGGAACUGCCUUGGAAACUGUGCAGCUAGAGUGCAGGAGAGGUAAGUGGAAUUCCUAGUGUAGCGGUGAAAUGCGUAGAUAUUAAGAGGAACACCAGUGGCGAAGGCGGCUUACUGGACUGUAACUGACGUUGAGGCACGAAAGCGUGGGGAGCAAACAGGAUUAGAUACCCGAGUAGUC
rnacentral:rRNA from 1 species